CAGAAAUAUGUAUUGCCGAUAAAUUUCUGUGGUACAUAAGCGUGUUCCUGUCAAACUGGGAAGCGAGGGUGAAUUAGAAGUGGUUUUUUGUUGCGUUCUCUUAGGAUCUGUUAACAGUUAAUGGGAGUAAAAACGGGCUGCCUUUGUUCAAAUGGCCUUUUUUGAGUACAUGGUUGGGUCUCUUUGCUUGUUUGGGUGCAUUUAAACGUAAUUAAUUUGAGAAAGUAUUUUGGACAGCGACAAUUCUUCUGCAAGUUAUUACACCACUAAUUGCUCUUGUGUUCGGGAAAGAUUGCUGGAG
rnacentral:misc_RNA from 1 species